GAGUGGUGUCGACGAAGAAAAAGUCGGCCACGUUGGUGUUGAGGAUGAAGGAUCUGUGGCAAACCCAUCUGGAAUCUUUGUCCUGUAGGGAUGUGCUCAGUUGUGCUUCGACGUUGCCUCUGUAGUCAUGGUUCCCCAGAACUGGUAGGAAGGUAGCAGUAAGUUUACAAAUAAAUAGGUCAAAAGUGAAUAAUGCAACACUUUUGAAUGGCGGUGACUUACUGUUGUACCAGGGCUUGUGCAAGCCGGGUGCGGUAUAGAUGUCGGAGAAAGAGUGAUAGAAAGCAGGGUCAUCCACUCCUUGCAAUCCGUCGUCGUAGAAGUUAUCGCCGGUUGAUAUCACGAAAUCCACAUUUAGUUCCUCAGCAAUCUUCCCCAUCUGUGAAAAAAAUAGGAAAGAUCAAACCAGGUCAGAAAAUGCUAAGUUUAAUUUUGACCAAUUCUUAAAUCGAACCAUAUUCUCUCAAUUGUUUGAUAUCAACAAUUCGUAAUAACUACAUAAAAAAUACUAAUUAAUGUGGUGCCUGCCUGAUGUGAUAUGUGGUUGGGGCAGAUAUGGAGCUAAUUAUAACGGAUAUACCAGGAGCAGCAGACACUGUAUAUCCAUUAUCCUGUUGGUUGGAGGAGCAUAUCCAAUCUGAACUGGUAUUAUCCGCUUAUAUCUAUACUCUCCAGAUUCCCCAACUAAAAUAUUUAUUAUAUUCUUUUCUUUAAAAAAAAAAAAAAAAAGAUAAGUAAUCCCAGACAGCGAUCGUGCCAGCCAGUGGGGUCGGAGUGAACCAUUCAUUCAGAGAGUGGUUUGUCUGUGUGUUUUUCUUAAUUGCACCAGACAAAUUGAGAAAUAUAUAUAUAAUGAAAACCGGACCUACUCCUACAAUCAUACUUGAUGAAUAUUUCUGUCCUCUACCUCAUGAUUAAGAGUUGUUCCGGUGAUAUAAAGCGUGUGUUUGGUGAUUCUGAGGUUUAGGAUUCGUUAAUAUAUCUUACGAAACGAACACUAAUAUAAUAUUUAUUUCUUUUUAAAAAUCGAAUAAACCAUCAAAUUAAUAAUAAACGGACGAUGCAUUGAUAACAUAUAUUUAUUCCAUAUAAGGACUUAAAUCGUUUUUCUUGUUGAGAAAAUCAAGUUUGAGAAGACGUGCAGAUAACUGCAACUCCGACGUACGUGUCACGUUUCUGAAGAAAAACAGAAACUUAAGGAGGGAGCUUAUGAUAAGCUAAGUACGUAGCUUAGCGAGUAAGAGUAAAGGAUU
rnacentral:lncRNA from 1 species